rnacentral:rRNA from 1 species
AGUGAACGCUGGCGGUAGGCCUAACACAUGCAAGUCGAACGGCAGCACAGGAGAGCUUGCUCUCUGGGUGGCGAGUGGCGGACGGGUGAGGAAUACAUCGGAAUCUACUCUGUCGUGGGGGAUAACGUAGGGAAACUUACGCUAAUACCGCAUACGACCUACGGGUGAAAGCAGGGGACCUUCGGGCCUUGCGCGAUUGAAUGAGCCGAUGUCGGAUUAGCUAGUUGGCGGGGUAAAGGCCCACCAAGGCGACGAUCCGUAGCUGGUCUGAGAGGAUGAUCAGCCACACUGGAACUGAGCCACGGUCCAGACUCCUACGGGAGGCAGCAGUGGGGAAUAUUGGACAAUGGGCGCAAGCCUGAUCCAGCCAUACCGCGUGGGUGAAGAAGGCCUUCGGGUUGUAAAGCCCUUUUGUUGGGAAAGAAAUCCAGCUGGCUAAUACCCGGUUGGGAUGACGGUACCCAAAGAAUAAGCACCGGCUAACCUCGUGCCAGCAGCCGCGGUAA